rnacentral:pre_miRNA from 12 species
UUCCCCUCGUUUGUCUCCCAGCCCGAGGUGCAGUGCUGCAUCUCUGGUCAGUUGUGAGUCUGAGAUGAAGCACUGUAGCUCGGGAAGGGAGGAACUGUCCAGCUCA